UUGAACGCUGGCGGCAUGCUUUACACAUGCAAGUCGAACGGCAGCGCGGGCUUCGGCCUGGCGGCGAGUGGCGAACGGGUGAGUAAUGCAUCGGAACGUGCCCAGUAGUGGGGGAUAGCCCGGCGAAAGCCGGAUUAAUACCGCAUACGACCUGAGGGCGAAAGCGGGGGACCGAAAGGCCUCGCGCUAUUGGAGCGGCCGAUGUCGGAUUAGCUAGUUGGUGGGGUAAAGGCUUACCAAGGCGACGAUCCGUAGCUGGUCUGAGAGGACGACCAGCCACACUGGGACUGAGACACGGCCCAGACUCCUACGGGAGGCAGCAGUGGGGAAUUUUGGACAAUGGGGGCAACCCUGAUCCAGCCAUGCCGCGUGCGGGAAGAAGGCCUUCGGGUUGUAAACCGCUUUUGUUCGGGAAGAAAUCCUCUGGGCUAAUACCCCGGGGGGAUGACGGUACCGGAAGAAUAAGCACCGGCUAACUACGUG
rnacentral:rRNA from 1 species